GGACUACUCGGGUAUCUAAUCCGGUUCGCUCCCCACGCUUUCGCGUCUCAGCGUCAGGUAAGGCCCAGAAAGCCGCCUUCGCCACAGGUGUUCCUCCCGAUAUCUACGCAUAUCACCACUACACCGGGAAUUCCACUUUCCUCUGCCUCCCUCGAGUUUGCCAGUAUGCAAGGACCUCUCCCAGUUGAGCCGGGAGCUUUCACCCUGCACUUAACAAACCGCCUGCACGCCCUUUACGCCCAGUAAAUCCGGACAACGCUUGCCACCUACGUAUUACCGCGGCUGCUGGCAC
rnacentral:rRNA from 1 species